UAGGGAAUCUUCCGCAAUGGACGAAAGUCUGACGGAGCAACGCCGCGUGAGUGAAGAAGGAUUUCGGUUCGUAAAACUCUGUUGUUAGGGAAGAAAAAAUGUAUAGUAACUAUAUACAAAAGAGACGGUAGCUAACCAGAAAGCCACGGCUAACUACGUGCCAGCAGCCGCGGUAAUACGUAGGUGGCAAGCGUUGUCCGGAAUUAUUGGGCGUAAAGCGCGCGCAGGUGGUUUAGAAAGUCUGAUGUGAAAGCCCACGGCUCAACCGUGGAGGGUCAUUGGAAACUAAUAAACUUGAGUGCAGGGGAGAAAAGUGGAAUUCCUAGUGUAGCGGUGAAAUGCGUAGAGAUUAGGAGGAACACCGGUGGCGAAAGCGGCUUUUUGGCCUGCAACUGACACUGAGGCGCGAAAGCGUGGGGAGCAAACAGG
rnacentral:rRNA from 1 species